UUGCCUGUGAAACGAAUCUGAGUUCUCCCUUAAUUCUCCUCCAAGGCAUUUAACCAACCAUCCUGUAGCAAAUUAAGAGUAAUUUAAAGGAGGUACAGCUCCUUUAAAAAAGAACACAAUCUUCCCUAGCGGAUAACCACCCAACUACUCUCUUCAACUGUGGGCCCUUAAGCAGCCACCAACAAAGAGUGCGUCAAAGCUCUAUGCCUAAAAAUUUUUAAACAACGCGAUUCCCUUAUUACCAACAGGCCAACCUAUAACAAUAGGAGGAUUAAUGCUAAAAUGAGUAACUGGGGGCCACCCUCCCAAGCGCAAGCUUACAUUCACACAUUAUUAACAGUACAACUAAUACCACAAUUACUAACAAGACUAAAUAUUAACUCACCCUGUUAACCCGACUCAGGAGCGCCCACUAGAAAGAUUAAAAUCUGUAAAAGGAACUAGGCAAGCCCAAGGCCCGACUGUUUACCAAAAACAUAGCCUUCAGCUGACCAAGUAUUGAAGGUGAUGCCUGCCCAGUGACACCACGUUUAACGGCCGCGGUAUCCUAACCGUGCAAAGGUAGCGCAAUCAAUUGUCCCAUAAAUCGAGACUUGUAUGAAUGGCUAAACGAGGUCUUAACUGUCUCUUACAGAUAAUCAGUGAAAUUGAUCUUCUUGUGCAAAAGCAAGAAUAAACCCAUAAGACGAGAAGACCCUGUGGAACUUAAAAAUCACCGGCCACUACCAAUAAACUUCAAACCUAUCAGGCUCACUACCUUCAAAACACUGGUCUACAUUUUUCGGUUGGGGCGACCUUGGAGAAAAGCAGAUCCUCCAAAAAUAAGACCACAUCUCUUAACUAAGAGGAACCUCUCAACGUACUAACAGUAACCAGACCCAAUAUAAUUGACCAAUGGACCAAGCUACCCCAGGGAUAACAGCGCAAUCUCCUCCGAGAGCUCAUAUCGACGAGGAGGUUUACGACCUCGAUGUUGGAUCAGGACAUCCUAGUGGUNCANCCGCUACUAAGGGUUCGUUUGUUCAACGAUUAAUAGUCNUACGUGAUCUGAGUUCAGACCG
rnacentral:rRNA from 1 species